UACAGAGGGGGCAAGCGUUGUUCGGAAUUACUGGGCGUAAAGGGCGCGUAGGCGGCCGCCUAAGUCAGACGUGAAAUCCCUCGGCUCAACCGGGGAACUGCGUCUGAUACUGGGUGGCUUGAAUCCGGGAGAGGGAUGCGGAAUUCCAGGUGUAGCGGUGAAAUGCGUAGAUAUCUGGAGGAACACCGAUGGCGAAGGCGGCAUCCUGGACCGGCAUUGACGCUGAGGCGCGAAAGCCAGGGGAGCAAACGGG
rnacentral:rRNA from 1 species